rnacentral:rRNA from 1 species
AUAUUCAAUUGUCAGAGGUGAAAUUCUUGGAUUUAUUGAAGACUAACUACUGCGAAAGCAUUUGCCAAGGAUGUUUUCAUUAAUCAAGAACGAAAGUUAGGGGAUCGAAGACGAUCAGAUACCGUCGUAGUCUUAACCAUAAACUAUGCCGACUAGGGAUCGGAUGAUGUUAUUUUUAAUGACUCA